CAAUUCUCGGAGGCACAUAUCGCAUGCCAUUAUCGGAAGGUCGUCUUUGAUAAUAUCUGCCACAGUUAUCACUGUUCAGACAACAAUUAAACCAUGGAAGCACAUCAGUUACAAAGUGAGAGGCUAUGCAUGAAGCAGGAGAUACACGAUCCAGUGAACCACCUCCAGGAGGUCCUACUACCAGCGAGUCACCAUUAUAACAACAUUGUUGACCAGCUUUAGAUUUGCU